CGGCUCCCCAGUGGGGCGUGCGCUCGGCGUCUCUGAAAAUGCGGCUGAGCAAACGGUGAAAGAGGAAAAAGACCGAGAAUCCAAGAGUUUGGUUAAUCAAGUCUAGGCAGCCCUCAAGCAAGCUGUGGUGGGAAGGGAGCCCAGGAGACAAGUUCAUUGCCUGUGCAACUGCCAGGCCUGCGGUCGCCUUGGGAUGCAUGACAGUGAGUGGAGCAGACUCCCUGGACCAGCCUCUGCUUGUAUAAAAAGCACCCCGAGGAUCCUGCUGCCCAGUGGCCCACUGUGAGAGCCAGCCCUCCUGACCGUGCCCCCAGCACCAGAUCUAAGAAAGACCCUGCGGGGGAGGGGCAUGGAAGCGGUGGUUGUGGCCCAGACUGAAGGCACUGGGUACAGAGGCUGUAGCACCUGGGUGGACUCUGCCUGAAGACCACUCUGGCUCAUCUCAUUCACAGCAGAAUCCCUAGGAUCUUACUCUGGAAGGAAUGAAUGCAUCGAUGGAUGGGUGCCCCACUUUGCUCCUUAUCAUCAUCACCCAACCACCUGCCUGUGCCACACCUCCUAGCCACACUUGGAGCAGGAACCUUGGGCAUAUUGACCUCCGUUUCCCUACCUAAUAAAGCAAUUCAAUUCUCAGCUAAGAACCACCUGCAAUAAACAUUUCAUUUCCCAGUCUCUCUUGAGGUACGGCUACAAAAUAAAAUUCAGACAUUAAAUAAAAUUCGUCACAGACAUUAAGCAGAACUUGUAUGGACUUCCAAAUUUUAUUAAAGUUAGGGGCAAGCCUCUUAUGCCUUCCUCCUUUCUGCUGGCUGGGAUGCAAAGAUCAUGGCAGGAGGCCAAGCAGCCAUCCUGGAGAGUGAGGAAGCCACACACUGAGGAUGAGGGCAAAAAGCCUGGGUGCCUUGAUCAUGUUGAGGAGUCUUCCCCCCCAAUCUGGCCUGCCUACCUAGAUAUCUUUUUAGAGAGAAAACUUCAUUCUUGCAAUAAGCCAAAAAGAACAUUUUGCGUUUUCUUUCACAAGAGUUGAAUCGAGGUCAGACUGACCCAUUAAUGUUAUCUCCACUUACAGAGACGAGAAAAGCUUACCCAGACGCAGCCAGUGUGAGCCAGGGUUCAAACACAACUCUGAUUCCUUACCUCCAGGUUCCAACACUCACCCAGGCUUCCUUGAGAAGUACACAGGAUUCGUACAGAGUAAGAAGACCUUGCAUUUUCCUUACAGACCACAGAAUCCUUACAGGAUUUUCUGGAGUGGUGAGGAUUUCUCACUUAGGAGAGGAUGCUUCUGUCCUUUUGUUUUAUCCCUGAAUUGGCACAGUCUCCCUCCAAUCCCAGUAUGUCUUUAGAAUCACUAACCACAACUGCUUCCCCCGAGGCUGCUGGGAAGGCAAGGAUUUGACUCUUAGUUGUCCAAGAUAAACACUGCCGGGAACACAACCCAACCACCUCGCCUCCAUCCAGGAAAGUCCUAUAGGUCAGAAGAGACUGCUUAGACUGGCACUUGGCAUCAAUCUGAACUUUGAUGCUGUAAAUCAGGCAGAGAAAUUAAAUGAUCAGGGCAGGCUGGCAAGGGUAGGUCUGGGAUCCUGAAAUACUCCUCAGCUCCUCCAGAGCAAAGCUGCAAGACUGUCCCUUUGCUUUAGAUGUUAUAAACUACCAGAGUAUGGUUCAAAGUGUCUCCGGGAAGAACAGAUUAAGACCAUUGUGGACUUCCCAGGUGGUCCAGUAGUUAAGACUCUGCCUGCCAAUGCACGGGACACAGGUUAAAUCUCUGGUCU